CUAGCUUCCCGGCUGCUUUGUUUACCCAAGCAAGCCUGGGCAAUGGCGGGCGCCCCUCCCCCAGCCUUGCUGCGGCCUUGCAGUUUGAUCUCAGACUGCUGUGCUAGCAAUCAGCGAGACUCCGUGGGCGUAGGACCCUCCUAGCCAGGUGCAAGAUAUAAUCUCGCGGUGCGCCGUUUUUUAAGCCGGUCCGAAAGCGCAAUAUUCGGGUGGGAGAGACCCGAUUUUCCAGUGAGAUGAACCCAGUACCUCAGAUGGAAAUGCAGAAAUCACCCGUCUUCUGCGUCGCUCACGCUGGGAGCUGUAGACCGGAGCUGUUGCUAUUCGGCCAUCUUGGCUCCUCUCCUGGUAAUCCUCUUAUACAUUUUUAAAAAUUCUUAGUUCAUUAGUUUUUAAUCUUCCUUAUUUUUAAAAUAAAUGUAUUUAUAAUUUUUAUUUUAAAUAUUGCUAUAGCUGUAACUCACAAAUUUUGUCAUUUGGCUUUUUAUUGUCUUUCAGAUCUAAAUUUUACUAAUUUCCUUUCUGACUUAAUUUUUACCUGUGAUUUAGUAGUAUUAUUUUAAUUAUUGGACAUAUGGAAUUUCAAAAUUAUCCUUUUGUAAUUUAUUUAUGAUAUUAUAGUAUAACAAUUAGAUAACAUAGUUUACAUAAUAAACGUUUUUUGCUUUUGCUGAGACUUUAUUAUUUGGCUGAAUUUAUAAACUUUCCAAGCACAUUUAAAAAAAAAUAACCUUUAUUUAAUCAGUGUAAAGCUUUGUUUAUGUUUCAAAUUGUCUAUAAUGUUUACAUUUUUGUCUACUUCAUUUUUUCAGUGUCUGUGAUAAAAACAUUAACAUUUCCAGCUAAAGUUUUAAUUUUAUCUGCUGCAUCAUCAUGUAAAUUGUUGCUUUGUAUAUCCUGAAAAUAUGUUAUUAGGUGCAUAUGUGUUCAUGAUUUAUUACAUAUUCCUACUCUGUGAAUUAUUACUUAUAUCUCAUAGUGUUCUUGUUUGUUUUUAAGUUCUGUUUUGCCUCAUAUGAAAGUUGAAGCUCUAGCAUUCUGUUUUUCAGUAUUUGUUUGGCAUAUCUGUUUAUUUUCAAUCAUUUAGUUUCUUCUCAGUUCAAGUCUCUUAUCUUCGACAUUGCUGAAUUUUUUAUAAAACUAUUAUGGAAAUAUGUAUCCUUGGAGUAAUCUAUUUUAAUUAUAAAUAGCAUCAGUACUUAUUCCUACUAUGUUAUUUUUAUAUAUCAAUUGACGUAUUUUUUCUCUUUCUUUUCUCUUAAUUUUCCUCUCCCUUCUCCUUCUUUAUUUUGAUUCCCUUUAUUAAGAUUUUUUUUUUUUACUAGUUCAAAAGUUGGGUAAUGUUUACUCUCAUAUAUAAAUUAUAAUUCAACUAGAUAUUCAAGUUGACUCAAGGUCUUUUCCUUCAAAACAAAAAUUUUAUGUCAUUUUCUCCUCAUACGUAGUGUAGCUAUUUAGAAUUUGAUAUUAAUUUGAUUCUUCACUAUUUUAGAAAAUUGUUUUAAUAUUCUGGAAUUAAUAUUUUAAAAAUUUAUCUUUGAGUCUUGGGAGCUUUAAAAAUUCUUUUUAAUAGAGGUAGGGCUUGAAGAAAUCUAUCCUGUACUGAACUCUAGAUCCUUUUGAAUUUGAAGUGUCAUAAAUCUUUUCAUUUUGUCAAAUUAUUGGUCACUAUUCCCUCAAAUACAUUUUUUACUUCUACUUAUGUCAUUUGGGAUUAAUAUUAAAUAUUGACCCUUCUACAUAUCUCUUCUACAAAACUUUUUAUUUAUUGUUCUUAUUUGAACUUUCUUAAUACCUCCAGUGAUAAUUCUUCACGUGGAUCUUUGACCCACUAAAUAACUUUGGCACUAUAUUCUGUAAUUCAGCCUAUCAAUUUUUUUAUUAUAGUAAUGGUGUUCUUAUUACCAAUAAAUCCAAAUAAUUAUGUUCCAUAUUUGCUUAUUCCUGAUUUGUUCAUCUGUUAUGCUCUCUAUAAUGUCUCUUUCUUUCUCUGUAUAAAUAUUUAAUAAUACUUUUAAUAAUUAUUGUUCUGUUUGCUUCAUUUAUUCUGCUGCCACUGCUAUACAUUGUUCAGUUUUUAGUAUUUCUUUCCCUUUAUUGAUCUUUCUCAAUAUCUCAUCAUUUCCCCCUAUGAACUAACAUUUCCUUGAGACUCUCUGUUACUUUAGUCACCAAUGUGUACCUAGAAGAAGGUUGACAUCUGGACUCCUGCUUGUGAUUUUCAAAUUACCUAUUAGUGAUGAGGACAGCCUCUGGGGUUGCAAUCCAGGCUUAACCAUUUCCUAUUUGCUGACCUCUCCUUCCUUUUGUAGGGACCCUUACCAUUAGGGAAUCUUCCAAGUGGUGACCCUGUGCUGUGUUGUCUAGUCUGAAGGCAGUGAUCCUGUGCUGUGUUGCCUAGUCCAUGGAUUGGUCAUGAAAGGGAGAUGAAAAAACAAUUAGAGGAUCUUGGAUCUGAGAAUGUAAAACAGAGACAGAGGAAACAUUCAUGGAGUCAGAUUCAUCACAGUUCCAGUAGCAGUGGCAGGUGGCCAAGACUAGACCUGUGGUUUGCCUUUGGCUAUGGCUAUUAUCCAGCGUGAUCUGUCUAUUAUCUAUCUAUAUUAUCUAUCUAUCUAUCUAUCUAUCUAUCUGUCUAUCUAUGUAACCAAUUUAUUUGAUUAAGAGACCCAGAGUAUUUAUCUUUUGCUAGCUCUGAUAAAUCCUGCUUAGAACACUAUAUGCUUUAACGUUUUAAUGUAAUAGCUUUAGACAUUAACCAGAAUAUUCACUUCUGGGCCUGUCAGCUCGAAGAAACUUUUUAUUUGCAAUAAAAGAUUAAAAUGUAACAUUAUUGGUGUUGUAAGAGAAGAAAGACAACUGGAUUUAUGAAUCUAUUGCUGGCAAAUUACUAUUUUGAGUAAUAUAUGAAAAACAGAUUGGAAAUGAGGUUUAGGGGCAAAUGUUGCUUUGAAAGCAGGUGUCAUGUAUCACCCCCUGCCCCUAGUGAGAACAAUUACUUGGUUUCCAGUGGAGCUUUUGCUUCCAAAGUGAAAGGAGAAAUGUGGAAGACAUUCCAGAGUUUAGCUGUUUAUUUUAUGUAUUUAUCCCUUAGUUGUCUUUCCUAAUCAUGGAGAAACCCCUGUCUGAUUAAUAAACAAUUUCUGGCUCUGUUUCAGAA